rnacentral:rRNA from 1 species
CCUACAGGAGGCAGCAGUGGGGAAUAUUGGGCAAUGGAGGAAACUCUGACCCAGCGACGCCGCGUGCGGGAUGAAGGCCUUCGGGUUGUAAACCGCUUUCAGCAGGGAAGAAGCGAAAGUGACGGUACCUGCAGAAGAAGCACCGGCUAACUAUGUGCCAGCAGCCGCGGUAAUACAUAGGGUGCAAGCGUUGUCCGGAAUUAUUGGGCGUAAAGAGCUCGUAGGUGGUUCGUCACGUCGGAUGUGAAAAUCUGGGGCUUAACCCCAGACCUGCAUUCGAUACGGGCGAGCUUGAGUAUGGUAGGGGAGUCUGGAAUUCCUGGUGUAGCGGUGGAAUGCGCAGAUAUCAGGAGGAACACCAAUGGCGAAGGCAGGACUCUGGGCCAUUACUGACACUGAGGAGCGAAAGCGUGGGGAGCGAACAGGAUUAGAUACCCUGGUAGUCCACGCCGUAAACGGUGGGCACUAGUUGUGGGGACCUUCCACGGUCUCUGCGAGNNNACGACAUAGUAGCCGCCGCGGNGGACGAGCGCGAAGAGUAAACGUUAAAGUUAAAGUAGUUAGNGUGNGAGNGCGACGACGACGACGAGGAGGAGG